AACCUCUGGGCCGCCAGCGGUCUUUAUCUCUCUAUUCGAAUAGAAGGAUAAAAGCUAAGAGGGAAGCCGGUGAGAAUCCGGCGCUGCCCCGCAGCGGUAUGUGGAGACGAGCGCGUCAUCAGCACUGGAUCGAUGGCGAUCCGGGAAGCGACACGCAAGGCGGCACCCAGGUGCCACAUCCACGAGCCCGAAGACCUGCCGCCGGCCUGGGCGCGCG
rnacentral:ncRNA from 2 species